CUGGCCCUCCUGCGCAUGGGCAGUCAGUGCCAGCUGGACCCCGAGUUGGAAGCUCCAGCUCCGAGCCAGGAAUCGGCCCCAAAACCUUCUCAGCUCUGUCGCCCGGACCAGCUCAGUGGCGUGGGCACUGCUCCCCCGGCUGAGAGCCCCCGGCUGUAACGCCCAGCUUCUCCUAGUGGAGUCGGGAAAAGGGAUCCUCAGUGUUGAGCGAGCUUCUAUCUCCUCCCUCAGUGUUUCUGCCGCAGAUACCCAGCUUUCCCUGCACCAUUCAUUGAAUAGACUAUUCUUUCAAUGGAGUGUUGUUGGCACCCUUGUUGAAAACUGAC